UACGUAGGGUGCGAGCGUUGUCCGGAAUUAUUGGGCGUAAAGGGCUCGUAGGCGGUCUGUCGCGUCGGGAGUGAAAACUCAGGGCUUAACCCUGAGCCUGCUUCCGAUACGGGCAGACUAGAGGUAUGCAGGGGAGAACGGAAUUCCUGGUGUAGCGGUGGAAUGCGCAGAUAUCAGGAGGAACACCAAUGGCGAAGGCAGCUCGCUGGGACGGUACUGACGCUGAGACGCGAAAGCGUGGGGAGCGAACAGG
rnacentral:rRNA from 1 species